rnacentral:misc_RNA from 1 species
AACAUCGCGCACCUGCGGGAACCUGCGGAAGGAUCAUUAAUGAUUGGUGGCUGUUGCUGACUAGUGUUUCUAGUAUGUGCACGCCACACCUUCAAUCCCACUUACACCUGUGCACCUUCUGUAAUAGAUCUAUGUGGAUACGGAGAUGUGAAAGUUUGUGCUCUCCUACUCUGUUGAAGCAGUCUACUACGUUUUUUUACACGCACACACACAAUAGUCAUUGAAUGUAUUUUUUAUUCU